AACCACCGAGAGAAAGAAAAACAAUGACAAACAAGACUGGUCACUUGUUUUGUCUCACUUUAGCCGAGAGAGAGUAGAGAGAGUUGAGAGGAAAAAUUUGUGCCAUGCUUCAACCUUCCAGCCGAGAGGAGCUUGAGAGAAGAAUAAAGAAAUUUCUCUUGUUUUGCUUCCACUUCAGCCAAGAGGAACCAGAGAGAGAACACUUAAAGGAAGC
rnacentral:lncRNA from 1 species